CCUACGGGUGGCAGCAGUGAGGAAUAUUGGUCAAUGGGCGGAAGCCUGAACCAGCCAAGUAGCGUGCAGGAUGACGGCCCUAUGGGUUGUAAACUUCUUUUAUAUGGGAAUAAAAUGUUCCACGUGUGGGAUUUUGUAUGUACUAUAUGAAUAAGGAUCGGCUAACUCCGUGCCAGCAGCCGCGGUAAUACGGAGGAUCCGAGCGUUAUCCGGAUUGUUUGGGUUUAAAGGGAGCGUAGGUGGAUUGUUAAGUCAGUUGUGAAAGUUUGCGGCUCAACCGUAAAAUUGCAGUUGAAACUGGCAGUCUUGAGUACAGUAGAGGUGGGCGGAAUGCGUGGUGUAGCGGUGAAAUGCUUAGAUAUCACGAAGAACUCCGAUUGCGAAGGCAGCUUACUGGACUGCAACUGACACUGAGGCUCGAAAGUGUGGGUAUCAAACAGGAUUAGAUACCCGGGUAGUC
rnacentral:rRNA from 1 species